GACGAACGCUGGCGGCGUGCUUAACACAUGCAAGUCGAACGGAAAGGCCCUGCUUUUGUGGGGUGCUCGAGUGGCGAACGGGUGAGUAACACGUGAGUAACCUGCCCUUGACUUUGGGAUAACUUCAGGAAACUGGGGCUAAUACCGGAUAGGAGCUCCUGCUGCAUGGUGGGGGUUGGAAAGUUUCGGCGGUUGGGGAUGGACUCGCGGCUUAUCAGCUUGUUGGUGAGGUAGUGGCUUACCAAGGCUUUGACGGGUAGCCGGCCUGAGAGGGUGACCGGGCACCUUGGGCCUGAGAUACGGCCCAGACUCCUACGGGAGGCAGCAGUGGGGAAUAUUGCACAAUGGGCGGAAGCCUGAUGCAGCAACGCCGCGUGCGGGAUGACGGCCUUCGGGUUGUAAACCGCUUUCGCCUGUGACGAAGCGUGCGUGACGGUAAUGGGUAAAGAAGCACCGGCUAACUACGUG
rnacentral:rRNA from 1 species